rnacentral:rRNA from 1 species
AGUGAACGCUGGCGGUAGGCCUAACACAUGCAAGUCGAACGGCAGCACAGUAAGAGCUUGCUCUUACGGGUGGCGAGUGGCGGACGGGUGAGGAAUACAUCGGAAUCUACUUUUUCGUGGGGGAUAACGUAGGGAAACUUACGCUAAUACCGCAUACGACCUACGGGUGAAAGCAGGGGAUCUUCGGACCUUGCGCGAUUGAAUGAGCCGAUGUCGGAUUAGCUAGUUGGCGGGGUAAAGGCCCACCAAGGCGACGAUCCGUAGCUGGUCUGAGAGGAUGAUCAGCCACACUGGAACUGAGACACGGUCCAGACUCCUACGGGAGGCAGCAGUGGGGAAUAUUGGGCAAUGGGCGGAAGGCUGAUCCAGCCAUACCGCGUGGGUGAAGAAGGCCUUCGGGUUGUAAAACCCUUUUGUUGGGGAAGAAAAACAGCAGGUUAAAACCCCGCCGUUCUGACGGUACCCAAAGAAUAAGCACCGGCUAACUUCGUG